GGCGGAUGUAGCCCAGUGGAUC
rnacentral:tRNA from 1 species